UCCAGGGUAGCCUAGUGGACAUGGCAUCUGCCCGGUAAGCGUAACAGUGUGGGUUCGAUUCCCAUCCCUGGAC